GCCUGCAAUAAUCAGUAGUUACAUCAGGUAACUCAAUGUAUCGUUGCAGCAUGGAUUAAUCGUUACAUCAGGUAAUUCAACGAUCUUCACCUGCAUUGAUUAGUAGCUACACCUGAUUGUUAUCUGUCUGUUAGUUCUAUCCGUGCGUGUGUUACCUAAACACGUUUACUUCCAUGACCUGUCGAUGAUUGCGAACGUCUGCCAUCCAAACACACCACUGCCGGCGGUUUGCUGGGUACGUCGGGUGCACACCCUGACAAGAGCACGCCGACUGACAUAAUAAUUAGCUGGUGUCACGGGGUAGAGUUACGGCUUUUGCAACACCCGGAUAUAACCCAGUCGAUGUGAGUGUCCCUACACACUGAGACUCCUCAGUCCGGUUCACCGGUUCGACAGCGUCGCCGGCUUUGCCGAAAGUCGACCAAUCACAACUCACCUAACAAAAGGUCCGUAGGCCGACGCUGGUCUCCACAGCGACGGGGAGACGCUUAUUAUGUCUGACGCAGUCGGCACGGCGAGGGGGGAACAGCGGAGUGAUUUUACCUGAGCAAGAACUCGAUCGUCCCGUCGUCUGCAAAACACAGGAACGACGUCUGGAACCUUACAACGACUGUGGUCCCUAGCUGCCACCACCACCACCACCACCACCACCACCACCAACACCCUCCCCCACUUCCAUACACACACUUCCUCCCUCUCUCUCUCUCUCACGACGCCCCUCUUCGUCCUCGUGGUGUCGCUCACGUCGUCUGACGAGUCGUCGUGGUCGUCUGCUGCUGACAACGUCGUCGGCACGAUAAGAUGGCGGAUGAAGAGCGCCAGGAAGCGGAAGACAAUCAGGGUGACGACUCCCCGAAAGAGGAUCCAAAGGGAGAAAAAACUGCGGGAACCGAGGACAAGGACAAGGACAAGGACAAAGG